UACGUAGGGCGCAAGCGUUGUCCGGAAUUAUUGGGCGUAAAGAGCUCGUAGGCGGUCUGUUGCGUCCGCUGUGAAAACUCGGGGCUUAACCUCGAGCCUGCAGUGGAUACGGGCAGACUAGAGGUAGGUAGGGGAGAAUGGAAUUCCCGGUGUAGCGGUGAAAUGCGCAGAUAUCGGGAGGAACACCGGUGGCGAAGGCGGUUCUCUGGGCCUUACCUGACGCUGAGGAGCGAAAGCGUGGGGAGCGAACAGG
rnacentral:rRNA from 1 species